rnacentral:rRNA from 1 species
UACUGUGCGACCGUUAUUCGGCUUCACUGGGCUUAAAGGGUGCGUAGGCGGCUUGUUAAGUCGGGUGUGAAAGCCCCCAGCUCAACUGGGGAACUGCACUCUAUACUGGCGAGCUGGAGUGAGAUAGGGGUGUGUGGAACUGCCAGUGGAGCGGUGAAAUGUGUUGAUAUUGGCAGGAACGCCGGUGGCGAAAGCGACACACUGGGGCUCAACUGACGCUGAGGCACGAAAGCCAGGGGAGCGAACGGG